UGGUGGCUGCACGCUAGUUUUUGUUUGGUUUUGGUUUCCUUUUUCCUUUGCAGUUUUGGUUGCCAGUUUGUCCAGUCUUUUUGUUCCUGAAGAUUUCUAUUGUUUUUGGUGAUUUGGACAAUUUAAUGACAAGUCUUCUCAUUAGUACUUUUUGCUCACAGCUGUCUAUAAGCGUGUGGUCUAGAGGCCGGCAGUGUGAUUAUUGUGGUUGCGGAGUCGGUGCUAUCACCAGAGGAUUGCAGGGCGCCUGCAGGACAAGGCCACAGUCCCUGAGCUCCUGAGCUGCACCUGGCUACAGCACCGCGCUCUCACAGAUCCAUCAAAGGAAAACUGCAGACCGUGAAUGC